GUACUUGCUUCGGCAGUACAUAUACUAAAAUUGGAACGAUACAGAGAAGAUUAGCAUGGCCCCUGCGCAAAUCUGAACCCUUGACUGCUUUAUUUAUACCACCCUUAA